UACAGAGGUGGCAAGCGUUGUUCGGAAUUACUGGGCGUAAAGGGCGAGUAGGUGGCCAUCUAAGUCAGACGUGAAAUCCCCCGGCUUAACCUGGGAACUGCGUCUGAUACUGGACGGCUUGAGUAUGGGAGAGGAACGUAGAAUUCCAGGUGUAGCGGUGAAAUGCGUAGAUAUCGGGAGGAACACCGGUGGCGAAGGCGGCCCCCUGGUUGGAUACUGACGCUGAGACGCGAAAGCGUGGGGAGCAAACAGG
rnacentral:rRNA from 1 species